rnacentral:rRNA from 1 species
GUGCCAGCAGCCGCGGUAAGACGAACCGUGCGAACGUUAUUCGGAAUCACUGGGCUUAAAGGGUGUGUAGGCGGUCUGCCAAGUCAGGGGUGAAAUCCUUCGGCUCAACCGGAGAACUGCCCCUGAUACUGGCGGGCUAGAGGGAGACAGAGGCAGCCGGAACUACCGGUGGAGCGGUGAAAUGCGUUGAUAUCGGUAGGAACGCCAGAGGCGAAAGCGGGCUGCUGGAUCUCUUCUGACGCUGAGACACGAAAGCUAGGGGAGCGAACGGGAUUAGAAACCCGUGUAGUCC